GAUUAAGUUAUUAAGGGCGCACGGUGGAUGCCUUGGCACUAGAAGCCGAUGAAGGACGUUACUAACGACGAUAUGCUUUGGGGAGCUGUAAGUAAGCUUUGAUCCAGAGAUUUCCGAAUGGGGAAACCCAGCAUGAGUUAUGUCAUGUUAUCGAUAUGUGAAUACAUAGCAUAUCAGAAGGCACACCCGGAGAACUGAAACAUCUUAGUACCCGGAGGAAGAGAAAGAAAAUUCGAUUCCCUUAGUAGCGGCGAGCGAAACGGGAAGAGCCCAAACCAACAAGCUUGCUUGUUGGGGUUGUAGGACACUCUAUACGGAGUUACAAAGGACGACAUUAGACGAAUCAUCUGGAAAGAUGAAUCAAAGAAGGUAAUAAUCCUGUAGUCGAAAAUGUUGUCUCUCUUGAGUGGAUCCUGAGUACGACGGAGCACGUGAAAUUCCGUCGGAAUCUGGGAGGACCAUCUCCUAAGGCUAAAUACUCUCUAGUGACCGAUAGUGAACCAGUACCGUGAGGGAAAGGUGAAAAGCACCCCGGAAGGGGAGUGAAAUAGAACCUGAAACCGUGUGCUUACAAGUAGUCAGAGCCCGUUAAUGGGUGAUGGCGUGCCUUUUGUAGAAUGAACCGGCGAGUUACGAUUUGAUGCAAGGUUAAGCAGUAAAUGUGGAGCCGUAGCGAAAGCGAGUCUGAAUAGGGCGUUUAGUAUUUGGUCGUAGACCCGAAACCAGGUGAUCUACCCUUGGUCAGGUUGAAGUUCAGGUAACACUGAAUGGAGGACCGAACCGACUUACGUUGAAAAGUGAGCGGAUGAACUGAGGGUAGCGGAGAAAUUCCAAUCGAACCUGGAGAUAGCUGGUUCUCUCCGAAAUAGCUUUAGGGCUAGCCUCAAGUGAUGAUUAUUGGAGGUAGAGCACUGUUUGGACGAGGGGCCCCUCUCGGGUUACCGAAUUCAGACAAACUCCGAAUGCCAAUUAAUUUAACUUGGGAGUCAGAACAUGGGUGAUAAGGUCCGUGUUCGAAAGGGAAACAGCCCAGACCACCAGCUAAGGUCCCAAAAUAUAUGUUAAGUGGAAAAGGAUGUGGCGUUGCCCAGACAACUAGGAUGUUGGCUUAGAAGCAGCCAUCAUUUAAAGAGUGCGUAAUAGCUCACUAGUCGAGUGACACUGCGCCGAAAAUGUACCGGGGCUAAACAUAUUACCGAAGCUGUGGAUUGUCCUUUGGACAAUGGUAGGAGAGCGUUCUAAGGGCGUUGAAGCAUGAUCGUAAGGACAUGUGGAGCGCUUAGAAGUGAGAAUGCCGGUGUGAGUAGCGAAAGACGGGUGAGAAUCCCGUCCACCGAUUGACUAAGGUUUCCAGAGGAAGGCUCGUCCGCUCUGGGUUAGUCGGGUCCUAAGCUGAGGCCGACAGGCGUAGGCGAUGGAUAACAGGUUGAUAUUCCUGUACCACCUAUAAUCGUUUUAAUCGAUGGGGGGACGCAGUAGGAUAGGCGAAGCGUGCGAUUGGAUUGCACGUCUAAGCAGUAAGGCUGAGUAUUAGGCAAAUCCGGUACUCGUUAAGGCUGAGCUGUGAUGGGGAGAAGACAUUGUGUCUUCGAGUCGUUGAUUUCACACUGCCGAGAAAAGCCUCUAGAUAGAAAAUAGGUGCCCGUACCGCAAACCGACACAGGUAGUCAAGAUGAGAAUUCUAAGGUGAGCGAGCGAACUCUCGUUAAGGAACUCGGCAAAAUGACCCCGUAACUUCGGGAGAAGGGGUGCUCUUUAGGGUUAACGCCCAGAAGAGCCGCAGUGAAUAGGCCCAAGCGACUGUUUAUCAAAAACACAGGUCUCUGCUAAACCGUAAGGUGAUGUAUAGGGGCUGACGCCUGCCCGGUGCUGGAAGGUUAAGAGGAGUGGUUAGCUUCUGCGAAGCUACGAAUCGAAGCCCCAGUAAACGGCGGCCGUAACUAUAACGGUCCUAAGGUAGCGAAAUUCCUUGUCGGGUAAGUUCCGACCCGCACGAAAGGCGUAACGAUUUGGGCACUGUCUCAACGAGAGACUCGGUGAAAUCAUAGUACCUGUGAAGAUGCAGGUUACCCGCGACAGGACGGAAAGACCCCGUGGAGCUUUACUGUAGCCUGAUAUUGAAAUUCGGCACAGCUUGUACAGGAUAGGUAGGAGCCUUUGAAACGUGAGCGCUAGCUUACGUGGAGGCGCUGGUGGGAUACUACCCUAGCUGUGUUGGCUUUCUAACCCGCACCACUUAUCGUGGUGGGAGACAGUGUCAGGCGGGCAGUUUGACUGGGGCGGUCGCCUCCUAAAAGGUAACGGAGGCGCUCAAAGGUUCCCUCAGAAUGGUUGGAAAUCAUUCAUAGAGUGUAAAGGCAUAAGGGAGCUUGACUGCGAGACCUACAAGUCGAGCAGGGUCGAAAGACGGACUUAGUGAUCCGGUGGUUCCGCAUGGAAGGGCCAUCGCUCAACGGAUAAAAGCUACCCCGGGGAUAACAGGCUUAUCUCCCCCAAGAGUUCACAUCGACGGGGAGGUUUGGCACCUCGAUGUCGGCUCAUCGCAUCCUGGGGCUGUAGUCGGUCCCAAGGGUUGGGCUGUUCGCCCAUUAAAGCGGUACGCGAGCUGGGUUCAGAACGUCGUGAGACAGUUCGGUCCCUAUCCGUCGUGGGCGUAGGAAAUUUGAGAGGAGCUGUCCUUAGUACGAGAGGACCGGGAUGGACAUACCUCUGGUGUACCAGUUGUCGUGCCAACGGCAUAGCUGGAUAGCUAUGUGUGGACGGGAUAAGUGCUGAAAGCAUCUAAGCAUGAAGCCCCCCUCAAGAUGAGAUUUCCCAACUUCGGUUAUAAGAUCCCUCAAAGAUGAUGAGGUUAAUAGGUUCGAGGUGGAAGCAUGGUGACAUGUGGAGCUGACGAAUACUAAUCGAUCGAAGACUUAAUCAA
rnacentral:rRNA from 1 species